UCCACUGCCCAGUUGGUAAAGCACAAAGCUCUCAACCUUGUGGGCGUGGGUUCAAGCCCCAUGAUUGGAG
rnacentral:tRNA from 1 species